rnacentral:rRNA from 1 species
AUUGAACGCUGGCGGCAUGCUUUACACAUGCCAGUCGAGCGGCAGCGCGGGGGCAACCCUGGCGGCGAGCGGCGAACGGGUGAGUAAUGCAUCGGAACGUAUCCUCGAGUGGGGGAUAACCCAGCGAAAGUUGGGCUAAUACCGCAUGAGCUCUGAGGAGGAAAGCGGGGGACCUGCGAGGGCCUCGCGCUGGAGGAGCGGCCGAUGUCCGAUUAGCUAGUUGGUGGGGUAAAGGCUUACCAAGGCGACGAUCGGUAGCUGGUCUGAGAGGAUGAUCAGCCACACUGGGACUGAGACACGGCCCAGACUCCUACGGGAGGCAGCAGUGGGGAAUUUUGGACAAUGGGGGCAACCCUGAUCCAGCCAUGCCGCGUGAGUGAGGAAGGCCUUCGGGUUGUAAAGCUCUUUCGGACGGAACGAAAUGGGCGGGACUAAUACUCCUGUCUGAUGACGGUACCGUAAGAAGAAGCACCGGCUAACUACGUG